rnacentral:rRNA from 1 species
AACGCGAAGAACCUUACCUGGGCUAGACAACGGCGGACCGCCUGAGAAAUCAGGUUUUCCCUUCGGGGACUGCCGGUUCAGGUGCUGCAUGGCUGUCGUCAGCUCGUGUCGUGAGAUGUUGGGUUAAGUCCCGCAACGAGCGCAACCCUUAUUACCAGUUGCUACCAUUUAGUUGAGCACUCUGGUGAGACUGCCUCGGAUAACGGGGAGGAAGGCGGGGAUGACGUCAAGUCCUCAUGGCCUUUAUGUCCAGGGCUACACACGUGCUACAAUGGUCGGUACAAACCGUCGCAAACCCGCGAGGGGGAGCUAAUCGGAAAAAGCCGGCCUCAGUUCGGAUUGGAGUCUGCAACUCGACUCCAUGAAGCUGGAAUCGCUAGUAAUCGCAGAUCAGAAUGCUGCGGUGAAUACGUUCCCGGGCCUUGUACACACCGCGCAUA